AUGUAGGGCAAUCUGACUUUAAGUAGGGGUAAAUUACUCUUAAAGAAAAAAAGGAAUCCUAGAUAGUUUUCCCUUCAAGUCAAGAAUCUUCU
rnacentral:pre_miRNA from 1 species